AUUGAACGCUGGCGGCAGGCCUAACACAUGCAAGUCGAGCGGUAGCACAGAGAGCUUGCUCUCGGGUGACGAGCGGCGGACGGGUGAGUAAUGUCUGGGAAACUGCCUGAUGGAGGGGGAUAACUACUGGAAACGGUAGCUAAUACCGCAUAACGUCGCAAGACCAAAGUGGGGGACCUUCGGGCCUCAUGCCAUCAGAUGUGCCCAGAUGGGAUUAGCUAGUAGGUGGGGUAACGGCUCACCUAGGCGACGAUCCCUAGCUGGUCUGAGAGGAUGACCAGCCACACUGGAACUGAGACACGGUCCAGACUCCUACGGGAGGCAGCAGUGGGGAAUAUUGCACAAUGGGCGCAAGCCUGAUGCAGCCAUGCCGCGUGUGUGAAGAAGGCCUUCGGGUUGUAAAGCACUUUCAGCGGGGAGGAAGGCGGUGAGGUUAAUAACCUCAUCGAUUGACGUUACCCGCAGAAGAAGCACCGGCUAACUCCGUGCCAGCAGCCGCGGUAAUACGGAGGGUGCAAGCGUUAAUCGGAAUUACUGGGCGUAAAGCGCACGCAGGCGGUCUGUCAAGUCGGAUGUGAAAUCCCCGGGCUCAACCUGGGAACUGCAUUCGAAACUGGCAGGCUAGAGUCUUGUAGAGGGGGGUAGAAUUCCAGGUGUAGCGGUGAAAUGCGUAGAGAUCUGGAGGAAUACCGGUGGCGAAGGCGGCCCCCUGGACAAAGACUGACGCUCAGGUGCGAAAGCGUGGGGAGCAAACAGGAUUAGAUACCCUGGUAGUCCACGCCGUAAACGAUGUCGAUUUGGAGGUUGUGCCCUUGAGGCGUGGCUUCCGGAGCUAACGCGUUAAAUCGACCGCCUGGGGAGUACGGCCGCAAGGUUAAAACUCAAAUGAAUUGACGGGGGCCCGCACAAGCGGUGGAGCAUGUGGUUUAAUUCGAUGCAACGCGAAGAACCUUACCUGGUCUUGACAUCCACAGAACUUUCCAGAGAUGGAUUGGUGCCUUCGGGAACUGUGAGACAGGUGCUGCAUGGCUGUCGUCAGCUCGUGUUGUGAAAUGUUGGGUUAAGUCCCGCAACGAGCGCAACCCUUAUCCUUUGUUGCCAGCGGUCCGGCCGGGAACUCAAAGGAGACUGCCAGUGAUAAACUGGAGGAAGGUGGGGAUGACGUCAAGUCAUCAUGGCCCUUACGACCAGGGCUACACACGUGCUACAAUGGCAUAUACAAAGAGAAGCGACCUCGCGAGAGCAAGCGGACCUCAUAAAGUAUGUCGUAGUCCGGAUUGGAGUCUGCAACUCGACUCCAUGAAGUCGGAAUCGCUAGUAAUCGUAGAUCAGAAUGCUACGGUGAAUACGUUCCCGGGCCU
rnacentral:rRNA from 1 species